GAAUUUCCUAAACCACUGGGAUGAGCUGCUGUUUACUAUUACCUCCAGAAUGAGGACCACUGUGUUCGUGAAGGAGAGCGCCAACUGAUUACUCUGGGCUCAGGAGCACCUUUCGAGGACUUCCAGAUCUAGGCCCUAUACAAAUAAUCACUAUCCAUGCGGCAGAUAAGCUGGAAGCAGAGAAACUGAAAGCAAAAUGUUGGAGGCCUUGCUGAAGAAACAGUCAUCAGGAACAGUGGGUCCGACAAAGUCAAACUCCAAAUUGGUUAUCUAGAAGCCAAGGUCUCUAUUUGACAUCUGCAAAGACAGAAUUGAAGGCUGGGGAUGCCAGGAUCACUGUGGCUUCUUUCCUCUCCCAUGGGCUGAGCGGUGAUGGAGGAGGCAGAGGAAGACAUGGAAAGAAAGUGGAAGAGGUGAUAGUGGAAUGGGGUCAAAACCCAGUUCACCAUCCACGACAGGUAUUCUCCAGGACUUUACUCACAAGAGCUGUCUUCCCCACCCCCCUGACAUCAGAAUUCAAUUCCCAGACAUGUGUUUCUAAGUAAUUUACAAAUAGAAGCAGAAAGCAAAGGAAUUCUGGGUUGACAGUGGAUCUGUGGUAAGAAAUCAAAACCUGAAGGCAAUAGCUGUCCUUUCCAAGAAGCCAAAGCUCCUUCUCUCACAGGAGGCUGUGGGCCAGAUGCACUUGCUCUGGGAAGGGCCUUGGAAGCUCAGGUUCUCCCUGUGUGGACAUGGGCAGGCCUGGGUUUGAAGCCCAGCUCCUCACUUCUGAGUGACUUUGGGAGACAUGAAUCUCUUUAAGCUUCAGCAUUAUUAUCUUAAAAAUGCACCACAGGGUGGCUGUUGUAAUUAAAUAACAGAUUUAAAUGGAGAUCUCCU
rnacentral:lncRNA from 1 species